rnacentral:rRNA from 1 species
UACCGGCAGUUCAAGUCGCAUCCCUUUUUAUUGGGUCUAAAACAUCCGUAGCUUGUUUUUUAAGUCUCUUGUGAAAUCCUACGUCUCAAGCGUGGGGCUUGCGGGAGAUACUGAAAGGCUAGAGAUCGGUAGACGUAAGGAGUACGCGAGAGGUAACGGUUAAAUGUGUUAAUCUUUCGUGGACUAACGAUGAGCGAAGGCACCUUACGAGGACGAAUCUGACAGUCAGGGAUGAAGGCCAGGGGCGCAAAACGG